AGGAAAGCUGCCUGUUGCUGUUCCUUUGGACACUUCUGCACACAGCAGAAAGAUUGCAGCAAAGCAAACUCUCACUGAUGGGUGUUCUAAUUCUCCGUGUCACACAAAUUCCCGUGAGAGACAGUCAGGCAAGCAGCUUGACUCUAGGUGUCCAUCCAGUCAGUCGUCGUUCACUGAUGAGUCAACUCCAUUAAGGUUUUCAAGUCAACGAGCUAUGAGUACCGAGGUAGAGAGCACACGUUCAGUGCAGCUUGACGGACAAGGUGGGCCCUUUACCUAU